rfam:Clostridium disporicum strain 2789STDY5834856 genome assembly, contig: SCcontig000015
AUACGAACAAUAAAGACUGCUUAUAUAUCCCCCUAAUAUGGAGGGGAGUAUCUACCGGAAGCCGUAAAUUUCCGACUAUAAGUGAAGUUUGAUAUAGC